rnacentral:rRNA from 1 species
UACGUAGGGACCAAGCGUUGUUCGGAUUUACUGGGCGUAAAGGGCGCGUAGGCGGCGUGGUAAGUCACUUGUGAAAUCUCUGAGCUUAACUCAGAACGGCCAAGUGAUACUGCUGUGCUAGAGUGCAGAACGGGCAAUCGGAAUUCUUGGUGUAGCGGUGAAAUGCGUAGAUAUCAAGAGGAACACCUGAGGUGAAGACGGGUUGCUGGGCUGACACUGACGCUGAUGCGCGAAGCCAGGGGAGCAAACGGG